CCUCUGGUGUGUAGGUUGUUCUGCCAAGAGCAACGCCUAGUAGCUAUGUCCGGAUGGGCUAACCGCUGAAAGCAUCUAAGCGGGAAGCCCACCCUAAGAUAAGAUAUCCCGUGGUAUUCAAGGUUAUUUUAAGCCUUAGAGUAAAGGUCUUCGGAUCUUUAUAAAGAGGUAGCGAAUAAUUUUGAUCCACCUUAAGACUCCUGGGAGAUCACCAGGUUAAUAGGCUGCAGGUGUAAGCACAGUAAUGUGUUCAGCCGAGCAGUACUAAUCAGUCGUGUGGCUUGAUCAU
rnacentral:rRNA from 1 species